rnacentral:tRNA from 1 species
UCUUCCAUAAUAUAGUGGCCAGUAUGUGAGCUUGUCACCUAACAACGCUCGAGACCCGGGUUCAAUUCCUGGUGGGAGAG